UUGGAAGAAGGCUUGGUCCCCUUGGCUUGGUGAGAUCAUGAAAUAAAAACAUCAGUAGGAGGGGAAGGAGGAAGGAAGGAGAAGAAAGAGGAAGAAUAGGAGGAGAAGAGGAAGAGAGGAAGAAGUCGUGAACAGCCCUCCUGCAUUUUGCAUCAGGUAGAAAAGUCAGUUGAAUGUUGGGAAGAACACAAAUAAAAAUGCAAGAGAACAGCUAUCUUCACAGAUCCCGGAACAAAGGACAAAGGAUAGAACUAAAAGCGCCCCCCACCCGCCG
rnacentral:lncRNA from 1 species